UCCUGGUUUCCCAGGCAGUCCCAAUAGAGUGCUUUGUAAAAACAAAUAGCAACUAUCGGCAGGAGUUGCGCUCGUUAAAGGACUUAACCCAACAUCUCACGACACGAGCUGACGACAACCAUGCAGCACCUGUGCAAUUGUCUCCACAAAGUGGAGAAAGCUGUAUUUCUACAACGGUCAAAAGCAUGUCAAGCCUAGGUAAGGUUCCUCGCGUAGUGUCGAAUUAAACCACAUGUUCCACCGCUUGUGCGGGCCCCCGUCAAUUCCUUUGAGUUUUAGUCUUGCGACCGUAUUCCCCAGGCGGAUCACUUAUCGCGUUAGCUGCGACACUGAUUUUGCAAGCAAAACCAACGUCUAGUGAUCAUCGUUUACGGCGUGGACUAC
rnacentral:misc_RNA from 1 species